GAACACCAGUGGCGAAGGCGACUUACUGGGCCGUAACUGACGUUGAUGCGCGAAAGCUGGGGAGCGAACAGGAUUAGAUACCCUGGUAGUCCACGCCGUAAACGAUGAGUGCUAGGUGUAGCGGGUAUCGACCCCUGCUGUGCCGGAGUUAACACAAUAAGCACUCCGCCUGGGGAGUACGGCCGCAAGGUUGAAACUCAAAGGAAUUGACGGGGGCCCGCACAAGCAGCGGAGCAUGUGGUUUAAUUCGAAGCAACGCGAAGAACCUUACCAGGUCUUGACAUCGAGGCAAAGCCGUAGAGAUACGGUGUACAGCAAUGAGGCCGAAGACAGGUGGUGCAUGGUUGUCGUCAGCUCGUGUCGUGAGAUGUUGGGUUAAGUCCCGCAACGAGCGCAACCCUUAUUGUCAGUUACUAACGGGUAAAGCUGAGGACUCUGACGAGACUGCCGGGGACAACUCGGAGGAAGGUGGGGACGACGUCAAAUCAUCAUGCCCCUUAUGACCUGGGCUACACACGUGCUACAAUGGUGGUUACAGAGAGGAGCGAGCCCGCGANGGGGAGCGGAUCUCAAAAAGCCAUCUCAGUUCGGAUUGUGGGCUGCAACCCGCCACAUGAAGUUG
rnacentral:rRNA from 1 species